GACGAACGCUGGCGGCAUGCUUAACACAUGCAAGUCGAACGAAAAUACCAAGCUUGCUUGGUUGAUUAGUGGCGAACGGGUGAGUAACACGUGAGUAACCUGCCCCUUACUUUCUGGAUAACUGCUCGAAAGGGUAGCUAAUACGGGAUAUUCUGGCCUUCCUGCAUGGGUUGGUUUGGAAAGGUUUUUUUCUGGUGAGGGAUGGGCUCGCGGCCUAUCAGCUUGUUGGUGGGGUGAUGGCCUACCAAGGCUUUGACGGGUAGCCGGCCUGAGAGGGUGGACGGUCACACUGGGACUGAGAUACGGCCCAGACUCCUACGGGAGGCAGCAGUGGGGAAUAUUGCACAAUGGGCGCAAGCCUGAUGCAGCGACGCCGCGUGAGGGAUGAAGGCCUUCGGGUUGUAAACCUCUUUCGUCAGGGAACAAGGCACUGCUUUUGGUGGUGUUGAGGGUACCUGGAUAAGAAGCGCCGGCUAACUACGUGCCAGCAGCCGCGGUAAUACGUAGGGCGCAAGCGUUGUCCGGAAUUAUUGGGCGUAAAGAGCUCGUAGGCGGCUGGUCGCGUCUGUCGUGAAAACUUCCGGCUCAACCGGGGGCUUGCGGUGGGUACGGGCCGGCUAGAGUGCGGUAGGGGUAACUGGAACUCCUGGUGUAGCGGUGGAAUGCGCAGAUAUCAGGAAGAACACCGAUGGCGAAGGCAGGUUACUGGGCCGUUACUGACGCUGAGGAGCGAAAGCGUGGGGAGCGAACAGG
rnacentral:rRNA from 1 species